rnacentral:rRNA from 1 species
GAUUAAUACUCCAUAAUAUAUUGAUUGGCAUCAAUUGAUAUUGAAAGCUCCGGCGGAUAGAGAUGGGCACGCGCAAGAUUAGUUAGUUGGUGAGGUAACGGCUCACCAAGACGAUGAUCUUUAGGGGCCUGAGAGGGUGAUCCCCCACACUGGUUACUGAGACACGGACCAGACUCCUACGGGAGGCAGCAGUGAGGAAUAUUGGUCAAUGGGUGCAAGCCUGAACCAGCCAUCCCGCGUGAAGGACGACUGACCUAUGGGUUGUAAACUUCUUUUGUAUAGGGAUAAACCUACCCUCGUGAGGGUAGCUGAAGGUACUAUACGAAUAAGCACCGGCUAACUCCGUG